rnacentral:rRNA from 1 species
UGAGGAAUUUUGCGCAAUGGGGGAAACCCUGACGCAGCAACGCCGCGUGAGUGAUGAAGGCCUUCGGGUCGUAAAGCUCUGUCAAGUGGGAAGAACCUGCUCUGUGAUAACACCACGGGGCACCGACGGUACCACUGAAGGAAGCACCGGCUAACUCCGUGCCAGCAGCCGCGGUAAUACGGGGGUGCUAGCGUUAUUCGGAAUCAUUGGGCGUAAAGGGCGCGUAGGCGGUCUUUUAAGUCAGAUGUGAAAGCCCUCGGCUUAACCGAGGAAGUGCAUUUGAUACUAAGAGACUUGAGUAUGGGAGAGGGAAGCGGAAUUCCUGGUGUAGCGGUGAAAUGCGUAGAUAUCAGGAGGAACACCGGUGGCGAAGGCGGCUUCCUGGACCAAUACUGACGCUGAGGCGCGAAGGCGUGGGGAGCAAACAGGAUUAGAUACCCUGGUAGUCCACGCAGUAAACGGUGAACACUAGGUGUAGCGGGUAUUGACCCCUGCUGUGCCGAAGCUAACGCAUUAAGUGUUCCGCCUGGGAAGUACGGCCGCAAGGUUA